rnacentral:rRNA from 1 species
ACGGCUCAGUAACACGUCGAUAAUCUGCCUUUAGGUCGGGGAUAACCUCGGGAAACUGAGGAUAAAACCCGAUAGGAAAAGAAUUUUGGAAUAACUCUUUUCUUAAAGGUAUACGCCUAAAGAUGAGUCGGCGGUCGAUUAGGUCGUUGGCGAGGUAACGGCUCACCAAGCCUAUGAUCGAUAGGGGCCUUGAAAGAGGGAGCCCCGAGAAGGGAACUGAGACACGGUCCCUAGCCCUACGGGGUGCAGCAGGCGCGAAGACUUUACACUACGCGCAAGCGUGAUAAGGGGAUCCAGAGUGCUCAUGCACUGCAUGGGCUUUUGCCAACGGUAAAUACGCUGGCGAAUAAGUGGUGGACAAGACUGGUGCCAGCCGCCGCGGUAACCCCAGCACCACGAGUGGGGAUCGUAUUUAUUUGGCCUAAAGCGCUCGUAGCCGGUCAUGUAAAUCUCUUGUGAAAUCGUUGCGCUUAACGUAACGGCGUGCAGGAGAAACUGCAAGACUAGGGACUGGGAGGCGUUGAGGGUAUUCUUUGGGGAGCAGUAAAAUGCUAUAAUCCUAAGAGGACCACCUGUGGCGAAGGCGCUCAACGAGAACAGGUUCGACGGUGAGGGGCGAAGGCUAGGGGAGCGAUCCGGAUUAGAUACCCGAGUAGUCCUAGCAGUAAACGCUGCGGGCAAGGUGUUGCAUAUUCUUCGUGAAUAUGCAGUGUCGAAGCGAAGGCGUUAAGCCCGCCGCCUGGGGAGUACGGUCGCAAGACUGAAACUUAAAGGAAUGGGCGGGGGAGCAC